AUACUGGAAAACAAAAACCACACCGCCUCACUUAUUCAAAAACAAAGGACUCUGCUCCUGUAUUCUUGACCUUUUGGGACACUGCUGUCCAGUCAGAGGAAGAAUUAAAGCCUAGAGGAGAUAUGAACAGUGCAUAUGUUUCACUCAGGGGCACUUGAGCUAUUUAAUUGGUCCUGUCUACACUACAUAAUUAUUGCAAGAAAAUCCUACUACUUCAGAGGCAGGCAGCCAGUCAAACAAAUUACACACCCUGCUCUCAGAAUUUUGUUGACACCAUUGCAGACCUUAUCAUCAAUAUUUAAAACAACAGCAAAGAAAAAUACUUAACAGCCAUGUUGACGCUGGCAACUUUUGAACUGGGGUUGGUGAAAGUUUGCCAAGUACAACAGGACACAAUUUGUAAGCAAAGCAAAUAUUACUUUUCUUAAGAAUUAUAGAAAACAUAGAACAAUCAAUCAACAGUAAAAACACUUAACUGUAUCUCUGUAAUGCUGCUUUUUGUAUUUCAGUAUUUUAUAUAGCUUAUGUGCAUCUGCUCUUUGAAUAAUACUGAUGUUUUAAAGAUGUAUGAGCAGCCAUAUUAUUCCCACUCUGAACUGUAUUAUUUCUGCUA